GCAUCUUGUCCUGAGUUCCAAGUGCUCGGCCAGCCCCUAAAUACAGUCGCCCCAUUGUCUCUGCUCCUUGCUCCUGACUGCCGAUUGCGUUUGCCUGCCUCCUUUUCUGUAAGGCAAGACACCCCUGGAGAUACGCACAUAAGAAAACAGCCUCUGAUUCAAGCAGAACCGCUUCCUGUUAUUGUCAGGCAUUUCAUCCCAAUUGAUACCACUACAACCAAGCAGGGAUGGGUCUACCAGAUCUGCUGCAGGACUUAUUGCCAGUGGAAGCCAAGAAAGGAGGAGAAAAUUACUUCACAUCAGUGCAGGUCCAACUUCAGUGACAGAUCUGGUGGCCUUGGAGUGGCUGAAGACCACCACCCUCCACAGGCCUGCGCCCAAGCACAACUAUCCUUCUUUUUCUUGAGUGAGCCUCCUCAGCAUGCUGUCUAUAUCAUUGGCAGAAACUGUAGUUGCAAAGGGGGCUGAAUGACUACUGGACUUUAUAUGAAAACACCAACUUUCAGGCAAGGCUGGGAUAGGGGCAUAUUAUUUGG
rnacentral:lncRNA from 1 species